AGUUUGUUCACAAACUGCAUACAAUAAUGCGAUGUUUUGUGCAAAGCACAAAACUCGAAGAUAAACAGUGAGGCUGAAUUUCUGCCGAACUGUUUAUCUUAC
rfam:Treponema denticola ATCC 35405, complete genome.